rnacentral:ncRNA from 1 species
UGACCUCAGUUUAGAUGAGACUACCCGCUGAACUUAAGCAUAUCAGUAAGCGGAGGAAAAGAAACUAACAAGGAUUCCCUUAGUAGCGGCGAGCGAACAGGGAUGAGCCCAGCACCGAACCUCGCGCCCGGUUGAGCGGGUGCCGAGGAAUGUGGUGUUCGGGAGGAUCGUGCGCGUCUGUCCGGUAUCUAUCGUCCAAGUCUCCAUGAACGGGGCGAGCAACCCACAGAGGGUGUCAGGCCCGUAGAUAAGACGAGCCGAGACCGUGCAUCGGAUCCCUUCCCAAGAGUCGGGUUGCUUGAGCGUGCAGCCCUAAGCGGGAGGUAAACUCCUUCUAAGGCUAAAUAUCGCCACGAGACCGAUAGCGAACAAGUACCGCGAGGGAAAGUUGAAAAGAACUUUGAAGAGAGAGUUCAAGAGUGCGUGAAA